rnacentral:rRNA from 1 species
UACGUAGGGGGCAAGCGUUGUCCGGAAUCACUGGGCGUAAAGCGCACGUAGGCGGCUUUUUAAGUCAGGGGUGAAAUCCUGGAGCUCAACUCCAGAACUGCCUUUGAUACUGAGAAGCUUGAGUCCGGGAGAGGUGAGUGGAACUGCGAGUGUAGAGGUGAAAUUCGUAGAUAUUCGGAAGAACACCAGUGGCGAAGGCGACUCACUGGACAUGUAUUGACGCUGAGGUACGAAAGCGUGGGGGAGCAAACAGG